GGAUAAAUCAUAGAACUGGAUAUCUUAGUUGAUAAUUAAGUGUUGAAAGAAAAGAGUAGUAAUUCCAAACGGCAUCAGAUUCAUUCUACCAAAAAGACGCACAUUGUCAAGUCGUCAUUUGAAAAUCGGAAUUCACUUCGAUCACAAUGAAUCAGAAUAAUAAAGGGCUCUCGCAAAAGUACCCCCCCCACCAAGGCCAUCAGGCGUUCAUCAAAAAACUGGCCAAGAAGCAAAAGUACUUCGAUUCGGCCGACUAUCAAAUGGCCCUCCAGAGCCCGGACCAGGGGCAAGCCGUGGGAGACGGCUCGCGGAUCACAGGCGCUCUGGUGGUCACACUGGAGGCCAUUUCAGCAAGAAAGUCGCAGCUGCCAGGGUCCCCACUGGUAGAGUCAUUGUCCGACUCAAAAGUGUCUUCGGCUUCAGCCAAGCUGGAGUCCCUGGAAGUGGGGAAACCCGAAUCACACUGACUUCCCCAUCUGAGCAGCAGCCCGAAAGGAUGGCGUAGAUGCUGGAUACAUUUGUUCCAAAUGUUCUAUACACACCUUUACACUGGAACCAAUGCAAGACAGAAAGCCAGCAACAGUCUGGAACACAGCCAAGGAACGCAGGGAUUUCCCCGAUCUCCGUAAUAUUUGCAUGUUGCUUCGGCAGGCAGCUCGACACGUACAAGAGACUUCAACAAACCACAGCCAGAGAAAACAAGUAUCUUCUAAGAUUGAUCCAAGAUAUCUCGGGCUUUUGUUCUGGGAGCAUUCGCAGCCGAUGGAUGUCUUGGAUGUCUGGGAUCUCUACUCCGCAAUUAUAGGAAAAACAUCUGCCAGGACAAUUCACUCGUCAAAUUCAUUAUACAAAUGUACAACUUUCGGGACGGAGGCGGAAGAUGGCUGCAAUAAAUAAUACCGUAUGGGGAAAUCUA
rnacentral:sRNA from 1 species